CCAUAUCCAGAAGACCUCGUACACAACUUAUUGUCAUGAAUGAGUGUAAACCAAAAUAUGGGUUCAUGUGCACAAGAUACCAUGGUGAUCUCAGGUCAUAGGAUCAGUUGCACAACUUCCACUAAGAGAAUCAUCUUUUGACAUGUAAGUAAGACUUCAUAAGAUUUCUCGUUGUAGGUCAAUUCAGUGAACCCAUUCCUCUAAUGAGCACCCACAUCUUUGUAUUAGUGUCUCCACACAAAUGAUUGUGAGAUCAAUCAUCCUCUGCAUCGAGCAUACAUAAGACAUGCCAGUCUUUUUNNNNNNNNNNNNNNNNCCGACUCAAUGUACCAAUGACUGGGAAUAUUUAAGAUUAGGAUUUUAGGAUUUUAAGUCUCACUAGUAUGAUCUCAUCAUAGUCUUAAAACCAUUGCCCUAAUCUAAGGAGUUUAUCAUAAAUAUAAUCAACAGCAUAUGAUAAAACAUAACGCCUUUAUUCAUAUUUAAAUGUCAUGUACAUGAUUUGGACAAAUCAAAAGAAAAAACCUUUCGCAAUACAUAUUGCGAUUGACUUGUAGGGCAUCU
rnacentral:lncRNA from 1 species